rnacentral:misc_RNA from 1 species
UGACUGGACACCUCGUUUCGACACUGUUGUUUACUAAUAGAUAUCCUCUUACCGUAUUUGUAUGAAUAUCAAAUACAAAAAGAUAGGCGACUGAAUCACACCAAUGCCACUUGAUGUCUACGUGGCUGCUGGGUGCGGCAGUGUAGGGAAAUGUGCCCUUUUUCAACAAUAGCCAACUUCUACGUCGUCUUAAUACCAUACAUUUGAUAUAGUCUCUCUCAGAUAUUUCAUAUUACCCGUGUCCGUUAAUUUCAAAUAUGUCUGACCAUUUCCAUACGUUCAUAUGAUACAAGAAAUUUCGUCAGACAGUACGCCAUUACCGUAUCCCUGACCCCAAGCCCUAUAUAUAUCACAUGUGGCGAAUCCUCAGCCUCGUUGCUCUCCCCUUGUCUCGUGAGACAGGGUGUCUGGCUUUCCUCGCUGUCAUAUUGAGUGAGCUCUCGUUGCUGCAGUGUUAAAGGUGGUAUUAUCUCCCAAGUACAGCUGAUUCUCAGUUGAUUGCUGUUCGGCUGUCGGUAUUCGGAACAGUGUCGAGUUCCUUCCGGUCUUACUCGCUUCUGUUUUGUUAUUGGAUUCAUUUAUGUAUUCAUUUCGUCUUUGUCCAUAUUGAUUUGCGUUGAAGCAUUAGCUUAUGAGUUACAUUAGUUCCAUAGGUUGCUGACCCUGCUUUCGUUAUACUGACUUUAAAACCUGAUUUAAAGUAGAGAGCUUCAAAGGAGUAUUUUAUUCUUAAGAUUACGCAGAAGUGUAGAACGGAUUGCUCAAGGGAUUCGUUCUGUUUUGUGUUGUUUAAAAACAAGCCAUUUUUUUUCAACAUAUAUACAAAUUAUAUGUAACGAAAUAUGUUGAUCGAGUUGCAUUUUUGUCAUCAUCAUUAUCACCCUGUUUUAUAUAUUUUUAUUAAUCUAAUUUCAACUUACCACUAAGUAAGCUGAUCUGAAUGUAACUGACAAAUAAGGACUCAAUGAAUUUAUGAUUCGCAAUAAAAAUUCAGUGACCUGAAA